UGGUUCUGGCAUNGAUGAAGAACGCAGCAAAAUGCGAUAAGUAAUGUGAAUUGCAGAAUUCAGUGAAUCAUCGAAUCUUUGAACGCACAUUGCGCCCGCCAGUAUUCUGGCGGGCAUGCCUGUUCGAGCGUCAUUUCAACCCUCAAACCCCCGGGUUUGGUGUUGGGGAUCGGGUCGCUAGUCGACCCGUCUCCGAAAUCUAGUGGCGGUCUCGCUGCAGCCUCCAUUGCGUAGUAGCUAACACCUCGCAACUGGAACGCGGCGCGGCCAUGCCGUUAAACACCCAACUUCUGAAUGUUGACCUCGGAUCAGGUAGGAAUACCCGCUGA
rnacentral:misc_RNA from 1 species